GGACGCUUGGCGCAGUGGUAGCGCUUCUGAUUCCAGCAAUGGAAUCUCCAGAGGGUGUAUGUCUGGAUAACUUCUAAAUCGCUUGAACUAUGCUAACAUGUUAAUAGCACCCGUUCGAGUCGGGUAGUGUUCA